CAAAAGGGGAGUGGGAAAAUC
rnacentral:miRNA from 1 species